GCCUCCGUAGCUCAGCUGGCAGAGCAACCGCCUUGUAAGUGGUAGGUCGUCGGUUCGAAUCCGACCGGAGGCU
rnacentral:tRNA from 1 species